rnacentral:tRNA from 2 species
GGGCCCAUAGCUCAGUGGUAGAGCAGGUGACUCAUAAUCACUUGGUCGGAGGUUCGAACCCUUCUGGGCCCA